UACGGAGGGUGCUAGCGUUGUUCGGAAUCACUGGGCGUAAAGCGCGUGUAGGCGGUCCGUUAAGUCUGAUGUGAAAGCCCGGGGCUCACCCCCGGAAGUGCAUUGGAAACUGACGAACUCGAGUCCCGGAGAGGAGGGUGGAAUUCCUGGUGUAGCGGUGAAAUGCGUAGAUAUCAGGAGGAACACCGGUGGCGAAGGCGGCGCUCUGGACGGUGACUGACGCUGAGACGCGAAAGCGUGGGGAGCAAACAGG
rnacentral:rRNA from 1 species